UGGCUCAGUGGUAAAGAAUCUGCUUGCAAUGCAGGAGACCCAGGUUUGAUCCCUGG
rnacentral:tRNA from 1 species